rnacentral:tRNA from 1 species
GCACCCGUAGCUCAAUUGGAUAGAGCAUCGGUCUUCGGAGCCGAGGGUUGUGGGUUCGAGUCCCCCCGGGUGCGCCA